rnacentral:rRNA from 1 species
AGGAUACCCUGACGCAGCGACGUCGCGUGGACGAUGAAGGCCUUAGGGUUGUAAAGUCCUGUCAGAAGGGAAGAAAUGUAUAUAGGCUAAUACCUUAUAUGCUCGACGGUACCUUCAAAGGAAGCACCGGCUAACUCCGUGCCAGCAGCCGCGGUAAUAC